rnacentral:rRNA from 1 species
UAUGGAGAGUUUGAUCCUGGCUCAGGACGAACGCUGGCGGCGUGCCUUACACAUGCAAGUCGUGCGAGAACGGUUCCUUCGGGAACCUAGUAGAGCGGCGAACGGGUGAGUAAUACGUGAGCGAUCUGCCCGAGGGUGGGGGAUACCCCAGGGAAACCUGGACCAAUACCGCGUACAGCGUCGGGAGUGGGUGCCCGACGUGAAAGCCGGCCUCUUCUAUGCUGGCGCCCUCGGAUGAGCUCGCGGCCUAUCAGCUUGUUGGUGGGGUAACGGCCUACCAAGGCUAUGACGGGUAGCUGACGUGAGAGCGUGAUCAGCCACAUUGGGACUGAGACACGGCCCAGACUCCUACGGGAGGCAGCAGUGGGGAAUAUUGGA